GCUUACGGCCAUACCACCCUGAGAACGCCCCAUCUCGUCUGAUCUCGGAAGCUAAGCAGGGUCGGGCCUGGUUAGUACUUGGAUGGGAGACCGCCUGGGAAUACCAGAUGCUGUAAGCU
rnacentral:rRNA from 1 species